rnacentral:rRNA from 1 species
UCGAAGAUGGUGAGAGUGGCGCACGGGUGCGUAACGCGUGAGCAACCUACCUCUAUCAGGGGGAUAGCCUCUCGAAAGAGAGAUUAACACCGCAUAACAUCAACAGUUCGCAUGUUCAGUUGAUUAAAUAUUUAUAGGAUAGAGAUGGGCUCGCGUGACAUUAGCUAGUUGGUAGGGUAACGGCUUACCAAGGCGACGAUGUCUAGGGGCUCUGAGAGGAGAAUCCCCCACACUGGUACUGAGACACGGACCAGACUCCUACGGGAGGCAGCAGUAAGGAAUAUUGGUCAAUGGGCGGAAGCCUGAACCAGCCAUGCCGCGUGCAGGAUGACUGCCCUAUGGGUUGUAAACUGCUUUUGUCCAGGAAUAAACCUAGAUACGUGUAUCUAGCUGAAUGUACUGGAAGAAUAAGGAUCGGCUAACUCCGUGCCAGCAGCCGCGGUAAUACGGAGGAUCCGAGCGUUAUCCGGAUUUAUUGGGUUUAAAGGGUGCGUAGGCGGCCUAUUAAGUCAGGGGUGAAAUACGGUGGCUCAACCAUCGCAGUGCCUUUGAUACUGAUGGGCUUGAAUCCAUUUGAAGUGGGCGGAAUAAGACAAGUAGCGGUGAAAUGCAUAGAUAUGUCUUAGAACUCCGAUUGCGAAGGCAGCUCACUAAGCUGGUAUUGACGCUGAUGCACGAAAGCGUGGGGAUCGAACAGGAUUAGAUACCCUGGUAGUCCACGCCCUAAACGAUGAUAACUCGAUGUUGGCGAUAGACAGCCAGCGUCCAAGCGAAAGCGUUAAGUUAUCCACCUGGGGAGUACGCCCGCAAGGGUGAAACUC